rnacentral:tRNA from 1 species
UAGCUCAGUCAGUUGAGCAUGGUGCUAACAACGUCAAGGUCACGGGUUUGAUUCCCGU